rnacentral:rRNA from 1 species
UACGUAGGGUGCAAGCGUUGUCCGGAAUUAUUGGGCGUAAAGAGCUUGUAGGCGGUUUGUCGCGUCUGCUGUGAAAUUUCGGGGCUCAACCCCGAACUUGCAAUGGGUACGGGCAGACUAGAGUGUGGUAGGGGAGACUGGAAUUCCUGGUGUAGCGGUGAAAUGCGUAGAUAUCGGGAGGAACACCAGUGGCGAAGGCGACUACCUGGCCUGUUCUUGACGCUGAGGCGCGAAAGCUAGGGGAGCAAACGGG